GCAGAGAUGCCAGUGGCGCAACGUUUUAUAAUUAGGCCUGGAACGCUUUCAACCUACUGACCAUUACUUCUCUGCUAUCAGAAAGCCAAAAAAAGGAGAGUAUGGAAUUAAAAACAAAUACUAUAAGCAUAUGCCUAUUGAGACAUUUUGGGGGAAGCCUCCUGUACUUAUGAUACUUUCAUCUACUAUUUCAGUUUCAAGAGAGUCCAAACUAUUGUGUCUGGUAUUCAAGAUCUCUCAAAUGGAUAACUGACACUCACAGGAAGUCACUGGAGUUAAGGAGAUUCUGUUGGAGCAGUUCCCUGAUGAGGAAGAUGAAAUGGGUGUUAAAGCGUGUUAACAAACAAAUGAAAACAAAACAAAAAUUUUGGCCUCAGUACUGCCUUUGACAUGAUGGAUCAACUCAGCCCACUGGAUCUACACAAGUGUCUUAGAUUCCGUCCUGUCAUAGUUCUGCUCCUACAGUACCUGUUUUUCUUCCAUUAUCUGGUGGUGCUUCCUCUACUGUACCAAGUUCUUCCUCUUCUUCUAUGGAGCCCCUCAAAGUGGAUUCAUUAAUUUGGAAAUAUUACAGGUCCACUGACAUCUACAGGCAUUUUUCCAUUUGAUUCAGCGAAUAAUACCAAGAUGAAAUACUAACGGCCAAGAGCUACUUAACUCUGAUGAAAGAAUUAGAGCUUGCAGAAUGCAUUAGGCGUUGGAGUUUCCAAGGAAAAAUUAUCUACAGAAAAUUACUUUAAGGUUUUUACUUCUUGCAAAAUAAAAAGUUGUUUCUAUUUAUAUCACUUAAGAGUCAAAAACACAGGAUGAGCUAAACUGUGUGGUCAAUCCUUAAAGAUUUGAAAAACUGCUGGAAAUUAAAUAAAGUAUAAA